UACGGGGGGGGUAAGCGUUGUUCGGAAUUACUGGGCGUAAAGGGCUCGUAGGCGGCCAACUAAGUCAUACGUGAAAUCCCUCAGCUUAACUGGGGAACUGCGUGUGAUACUGGAUGGCUUGGAUUUGGGAGAGGGAUGCGGAAUUCCAGGUGUAGCGGUGAAAUGCGUAGAUAUCUGGAGGAACACCGGUGGCGAAAGCGGCGCGCUGGACCACUACUGACGCUGAGGAACGAAAGCUAGGGGAGCAAACAGG
rnacentral:rRNA from 1 species